rnacentral:rRNA from 1 species
CUACGGGACGCACCAGUGGGGAAUAUUGCACAAUGGGCGCAAGCCUGAUGCAGCCAUGCCGCGUGUGUGAAGAAGGCCUUAGGGUUGUAAAGCACUUUCAGUAAGGAGGAAAGGUUAGUAGUUAAUACCUGCUAGCUGUGACGUUACUUACAGAAGAAGCACCGGCUAACUCCGUGCCAGCAGGCCGCGGUAAUACGGAGGGUGCGAGCGUUAAUCGGAAUUACUGGGCGUAAAGCGUACGCAGGCGGUUUGUUAAGCGAGAUGUGAAAGCCCCGGGCUCAACCUGGGAACUGCAUUUCGAACUGGCAAACUAGAGUAUGAUAGAGGGUGGUAGAAUUUCAGGUGUAGCGGUGACAUGCGUAGAGAUCUGAAGGAAUACCGAUGGCGAAGGCAACCACCUGGGUCAAUACUGACGCUCAUGUACGAAAGCGUGGGGAGCAAACGGGAUUAGAUACCCCUGUAGUC